rnacentral:rRNA from 1 species
GGACUACAGGGGUAUCUAAUCCCGUUCGCUCCCCUGGCUUUCGCGCAUCAGCGUCAGUAAAGGCCCAAGAAGCCGCCUUCGCCACCGGUGUUCCGACUGAUAUCUACGCAUUUCACCGCUACACCAGCCAUUCCACUUCUCUCUACCUCACUCAAGACCGACAGUAUGAGAGGCAGUUCCGGGGUUGAGCCCUGGAAUUUCACCUCUCACUUAACGGCCCGCCUACGCGCGCUUUACGCCCAGUAACUUCGGACAACGCUCGCUCCCUACGUAUUACCGCGGCUGCUGGCAC